rnacentral:rRNA from 1 species
UACAGAGACUGCGAGCGUUAUUCGGAUUCACUGGGCGUAAAGGGUGCGCAGGCGGCCAUGUGUGUGAGGCGUGAAAGCCCGGGGCUUAACCCCGGAAUUGCACCUCAAACUAUAUGGCUAGAGCAUUGGAGAGGGUAGCAGAAUUCAUGGUGUAGCAGUGAAAUGCGUAGAUAUCAUGAGGAAUACCUGAGGCGAAGGCGGCUACCUGGACAAUUGCUGACGCUCAGGCACGAAAGCGUGGGGAGCAAAAGGG